UUUGUCUAGAUGCUUGCUGAGAGAACAACUGGAAGACGAGUGAAUGUGUAUAGACUGUGUUUCCUCAUGUGUAAAAUGUGUACUGAUAGAUGAUUUAAGAUUGUGCCACGUUUAUAAAAAUAGAUCCACCUUUAUUUUAGUGGAUCAUUAACAUGUAUUAGAAAAAAAUCAUUAACGCAGCCUGGACUUUCACAAAUAAUAUUGCUUGAAAUAUGGCUGAGUUUAAAAACUUGAAUGGAUUUUUAAAGUACAUUAAGUAGAUGAUACUUAUUCAUGACAACUAUAGGAGAUGUGAAUACGAAUAAUUGAAGUUAGGGAGCUCUACCCAAGGAGGCAAAUUCAUAUUAAUUCCUAACAUUUAUUGAGUACUUGGUAAGCGUCAAGCACUAUUCUCUGUUUUACCUUCUUUAUCUGCUUGAAUUCUCUCAACAACCCUGUGAAGUAUCUUUCCUCCAUUUUAUAGAGGAGGAAACUGAGGCAGAGAGCAAGGUCUAGCUAAGGGUCGCAAUCAUUAGCAUGAGAAUUUGAACUGAAGCAGUUGGACUCCAGAGCUCAAACCCCCACCUUGAACACAAGAUAAAGCUGGAGUUGGGGGAUAACAACGUGGAGCCUCUGGAGAGCCCAAGGGUUUGAUUCAACAGUCCAAAAUAAGGAGGACGCAGAUGCAGUUAGCACUGGAGAAGAGGGAGUUACCCAUGAGGGAACCCAGGGAGAAAAAGUUAUUCCUCAAAUGCACAUGGGCUCUGGGCUCCGGCCCAAGAGCUUCAGCCAAAACAGGAGCCAAGGUCUUCUAACCCCUCUCCCUUCUUCCACGCUCUGUUUUGCUGGGGUUAUUUUAGUUCUUGCUACUGCAAGGUCAGGAACAUUCCCAACUGGCAAUUAGUCUGCAAGUGCCCUCAGCACGGACUCAGUCCUUUGCACCAAUCAGCAUCCUUUGAAUUCAGUCUAUAUUUGUGCCCAGGAGUUUCUAUUUGUGGUGGCUGUUUUUGUUUUAAGCUCUCUAUGCAAAUGACACGCUAAUGGUCUGGUCCUUAGGGAAAUUCUGUCUUCAGGUGACAGAGAACUUUUCAUUUAAAUAAGUGUAUCUAUCCUUUUUCACUAAAGCCACUACAGUUGGCGUCUGCUCAUUUUGUUCAUUUUCCUCCUGAAAUAGACUAGCUAAUCAUUGCUUAUCACAUUUCCAAUUAGUUUCUUUUUUUUUUACUUGAAUAAUUAUAGCUCCACACUCUAUGGGUUUGGGGCCAUGCCCUUCAGGCCUACUUUGCAAACUGUGCUGAUAAACACAAGAUGGUGAACUUGCCCACAUUACACGGGCUGCCAAUCAGCCUCACACGGUGUAAUUUAAUUCUAAUAUACCUCCUGAUCUUUGGUGCAUUUAAAAAUAACUUGUUAAUAGUCUUCCUAUUCUAAUUAAGCUAAAAUUGCAUGCACUGUGAAAUGUUUGCUCUCUUGCUCUCUCGUGCUCUCUCUCUCUCUACACGCGUGCGCGCACACACACACAAUUGAUCCUUAAAAAUCAUUUCUGUAAACAGCCUGUGUGGCACAGUGCUUCUGAAAUUCUCCUCAAAGUCUUCCCCUGACCUAUGCCCACAAUGAUAGACAAUAGAAUAAAAUAACUGCAGCCCUGCUACCCUAGGUCCAUUAAAAUAUUCAUAAUAAAUUAUCUAAACUUUCCUAACAAAGUGGUUAAAAUUGGAACCUCUAGAGCCAAAUCUCCUUAGUUCAAAUCCUAGCUCUGCCACUAACUGUAACUUUGCGUAAGUCUUUUAACUGUUUUUAUUUCUUGGUUUCUUAAUGUGUAGAAUGAGGAUAAUGAUAAGCUCUACUUUGGAAAGUUGUAAGAGUUAAAUGAAAUGGUGGUUUUUUUAAAUGGUUAGAACAGAGACCGAUGCACGUUAAGUAUUCGUUAUUAUGAUUAAGUUUUGCGUGCUUUAAAAUGAAGCUGUGUUAUUGCAGUAUUUUAAAGAUGUUUUGUUCCCAAAAUCUUUGGGUACAAUUGACUCUUAAGGAAUAUGAGUCAUGUUUAAACUGUAAUUGUGAGCAGACCACCCUUUUUCCUCGAGAGGCUUUCUCAACCAGGUGAAUGGCAUGGCUGUGGUGGGAAACACGGGGCCCUGUGAGACAGGAAAUCUAGGGCGUUGUGUAGCUCCAUUACCAUCCUCUUCUUUUAUGGAUUCAGUGUCUUGUUCUUUUGUUCCAUGUGAGAAUCAUCCCUAUCCUGCCUACAUUAGAAAGCUGGAGAAAUAUGAAGUCACAUUAACAGCUUCUGAAGACUAAGGCAUGGACAGAUCUCAUUGGAAGCCAUCAUUCAACCAACUGCAAAGCUUUAGCCAAUUCCCAGCUAUGAAUUCUUCCAAGAUGAAAGGAUACCAAGCUCAAGACCCUCCCUUGUUCAUUUGAAGCCUUCCCAAAGAUGACUGACAACUUCACAGAUUUCAUUUGGUUUCAUUUCCUAUCUUAAUGAAAAAAAUGAUAAUGUUUAUACUGUAUGAUAAUGAAAACAUCAUGUAAAGAUUACUCUUUAUCUAAAUGUUAGCACAUAUUUUUGAACAUCUAUCAUUUUUCCAGCAGUUAUGAUUUUUUCUUCCCAAGAAUAUGGGAAUGAGGUGAAACUGACAACUUUUCCCCCACACAUUGUAUCCUCUUUUAAUGCCACCCUGUGUUUAACAGCACCUGACAGAAUGUAGGAGCAAUCCAUGGUGCUCAAAGAAUGUUAUGGAAUUUAACAACAAGUAUAUAUAUUUGUUUUGA